rnacentral:rRNA from 1 species
AGCGAACGCUGGCGGCAGGCCUAACACAUGCAAGUCGAACGAACUCUUCGGAGUUAGUGGCGGACGGGUGAGUAACACGUGGGAACGUGCCUUUAGGUUCGGAAUAACUCAGGGAAACUUGUGCUAAUACCGAAUGUGCCCUUCGGGGGAAAGACUUAUCGCCUUUAGAGCGGCCCGCGUCUGAUUAGCUAGUUGGUGAGGUAAAGGCUCACCAAGGCUACGAUCAGUAGCUGGUCUGAGAGGAUGAUCAGCCACAUUGGGACUGAGACACGGCCCAAACUCCUACGGGAGGCAGCAGUGGGGAAUCUUGCGCAAUGGGCGAAAGCCUGACGCAGCCAUGCCGCGUGAAUGAUGAAGGUCUUAGGAUUGUAAAAUUCUUUCACCGGGGACGAUAAUGACGGUACCCGGAGAAGAAGCCCCGGCUAACUUCGUGCCAGCCGCCGCGGUAAAAC